GGAAUUGUUCGCAAUGGGCGCAAGCCUGACGACGCAACGCCGCGUGGAGGAUGAAGAUCUUCGGGUCGUAAACUCCUUUCGAUCGAGACGAAUUCCUCCGGGGUGAACAAUCCCGGGGGUUGACGGUACCGCAAGAAGAAGCCCCGGCUAACUCCGUGCCAGCAGCCGCGGUAAUACGGGGGGGGCAAGCGUUGUUCGGAUUUACUGGGCGUAAAGGGCGCGUAGGCGGCCACCGCAAGUCGACUGUGAAAUCUCCGGGCUUAACCCGGAAAGGUCAGCCGAUACUGCGGGGCUAGAGUGCAGAAGGGGCAACUGGAAUUCUCGGUGUAGCGGUGAAAUGCGUAGAUAUCGAGAGGAACACCUGCGGCGAAGGCGGGUUGCUGGGCUGACACUGACGCUGAGGCGCGAAAGCUAGGGGAGCGAA
rnacentral:rRNA from 1 species